ACUUAAUUAGUUUAAUUUUUUAAAAACAAUAAAUUGUGGAUUUAUAGAUGAGAGGUUCAUUAGGUA
rnacentral:tRNA from 1 species